CCUGACUACUGAAGGUGCACACGAGAUAAUCACACAUGGCCAGCAUGUGUAAAUCCACCAAGAGUCCUGUGAGCGACACGGGGGUGUAGCGCCGGUGUGUGGCGGCAUGUGUUGUAUAUUAUACCUGACUACUGAAGGUGCACACGAGAUAAUCACACAUGGCCAGCAUGUGCAAAUCCACCAAGAGUCCUGUGAGCGACACGGGGGUGUAGCGCCGGUGUGUGGCGGCAUGUGUUGUAUAUUAUACCUGACUACUGAAGGUGCAUACGAGAUAAUCACACAUGGCCAGCAUGUG